rnacentral:rRNA from 1 species
CCUACGGGAGGCAGCAGUGAGGAAUAUUGGUCAAUGGUCGGAAGCCUGAACCAGCCAAGCCGCGUGAGGGAAGAAGGUACUGAGUAUCGUAAACUUCUUUUGUCAGGGAACAAAAACUGGUACGCGUCCCCGACUGAGUGUCCCUGAAGAACAAGCAUCGGCUAACUCCGUGCCAGCGGCCGCGGUAAUCCGGAGGAUGCGGGCGUUAUCCGGAUGUAUUGGGGUAAAGGGGUGCGAAGUGGGGGUGUUAAGUCGGCGGUCAAAGCCCGGGGCUAAACCCCGGCCCGCCGUUGAAACUGGGAGGCUGGAGUGGGAGAGAGGUAGGCAGAAUGCGCGGUGUAGCGGUGAAAUGCAUAGAUAUCGCGAAGAACGCCGAUGGCGAAGGCAGCAUGCCGG